UUGUACCUGGUGGCGAGCGGCGGACGGGUGAGUAAUGCCUAGGAAUCUGCCUGGUAGUGGGGGAUAACGCUCGGAAACGGACGCUAAUACCGCAUACGUCCUACGGGAGAAAGCAGGGGACCUUCGGGCCUUGCGCUAUCAGAUGAGCCUAGGUCGGAUUAGCUAGUUGGUGAGGUAAUGGCUCACCAAGGCGACGAUCCGUAACUGGUCUGAGAGGAUGAUCAGUCACACUGGAACUGAGACACGGUCCAGACUCCUACGGGAGGCAGCAGUGGGGAAUAUUGGACAAUGGGCGAAAGCCUGAUCCAGCCAUGCCGCGUGUGUGAAGAAGGUCUUCGGAUUGUAAAGCACUUUAAGUUGGGAGGAAGGGCAGUUACCUAAUACGUAAUUGUUUUGACGUUACCGACAGAAUAAGCACCGGCUAACUCUGUGCCAGCAGCCGCGGUAAUACAUAGGGUGCAAGCGUUAAUCGGAAUUACUGGGCGUAAAGCGCGCGUAGGUGGUUCGUUAAGUUGGAUGUGAAAUCCCCGGGCUCAACCUGGGAACUGCAUUCAAAACUGACGAGCUAGAGUAUGGUAGAGGGUGGUGGAAUUUCCUGUGUAGCGGUGAAUGCGUAGAUAUAGGAAGGAAACCAGUGGCGAGGCGACACCUGGACUGAUACUGACACUGAGGUGCGAAACGUGGGGAGCAACAGGAUUAGAUACCCUGGUAGUCACGCCGUAACGAUGUCACUAGCCGUUGGGACCUUGAGCUCUUAUGGCGCACUAACGCAUUAGUUGACGCCUGGGAGUCGGCCGCAA
rnacentral:rRNA from 1 species